rnacentral:rRNA from 1 species
UGCAGUCGAGCGGACAGAUGGGAGCUUGCUCCCUGAUGUUAGCGGCGGACGGGUGAGUAACACGUGGGUAACCUGCCUGUAAGACUGGGAUAACUCCGGGAAACCGGGGCUAAUACCGGAUGCUUGUUUGAACCGCAUGGUUCAAACAUAAAAGGUGGCUUCGGCUACCACUUACAGAUGGACCCGCGGCGCAUAGCUAGUUGGUGAGGUAACGGCUCACCAAGGCAACGAUGCGUAGCCGACCUGAGAGGGUGAUCGGCCACACUGGGACUGAGACACGGCCCAGACUCCUACGGGAGGCAGCAGUAGGGAAUCUUCCGCAAUGGACGAAAGUCUGACGGAGCAACGCCGCGUGAGUGAUGAAGGUUUUCGGAUCGUAAAGCUCUGUUGUUAGGGAAGAACAAGUACCGUUCGAAUAGGGCGGUACCUUGACGGUACCUAACCAGAAAGCCACGGCUAACUACGUGCCAGCAGCCGCGGUAAUACGUAGGUGGCAAGCGUUGUCCGGAAUUAUUGGGCGUAAAGGGCUCGCAGGCGGUUUCUUAAGUCUGAUGUGAAAGCCCCCGGCUCAACCGGGGAGGGUCAUUGGAAACUGGGGAACUUGAGUGCAGAAGAGGAGAGUGGAAUUCCACGUGUAGCGGUGAAAUGCGUAGAGAUGUGGAGGAACACCAGUGGCGAAGGCGACUCUCUGGUCUGUAACUGACGCUGAGGAGCGAAAGCGUGGGGAGCGAACAGGAUUAGAUACCCUGGUAGUCCACGCCGUAAACGAUGAGUGCUAAGUGUUAGGGGGUUUCCGCCCCUUAGUGCUGCAGCUAACGCAUUAAGCACUCCGCCUGGGGAGUACGGUCGCAAGACUGAAACUCAAGGAAUUGACGGGGGCCCGCACAAGCGGUGGAGCAU